rnacentral:rRNA from 1 species
AGCAGCCGCGGUAAUUCCAGCUCCAAUAGCGUAUAUUAAAGUUGUUGCAGUUAAAAAGCUCGUAGUUGAAUUUCGGGGUCAGUAGGCUGGUCGUGCCACAGGUACGUACUGGUCUCACUGAUUCCUCCUUCCUGAAGAACCGUAAUGCCAUUAAUUUGGUGUUGCGGGGAAACAGGACUGUUACUUUGAAAAAAUUAGAGUGUUUAAAGCAGGCUAACGCUUGAAUACAUUAGCAUGGAAUAAUGAAAUAGGACGAUCGAUCCUAUUUUGUUGGUUUCUAGGAUUGACGUAAUGAUUAAUAGGGAUAGUUGGGGGCAUUAGUAUUCAAUUGUCAGAGGUGAAAUUCUUGGAUUUAUUGAAGACUAACUACUGCGAAAGCAUUUGCCAAGGAUGUUUUCAUUAAUCAAGAACGAAAGUUAGGGGAUCGAAGACGAUCAGAUACCGUCGUAGUCUUAACCAUAAACUAUGCCGACUAGGGAUCGGAUGAUGUUAACUUUUAUAAUGACUCAUUCGGCGCCUU